AUUGAACGCUGGCGGCAUGCCUUACACAUGCAAGUCGAACGGUAACAGGUCUUCGGAUGCUGACGAGUGGCGAACGGGUGAGUAAUACAUCGGAACGUGCCCAAUCGUGGGGGAUAACGCAGCGAAAGCUGUGCUAAUACCGCAUACGAUCUACGGAUGAAAGCAGGGGAUCGCAAGACCUUGCGCGAAUGGAGCGGCCG
rnacentral:rRNA from 1 species